GGCCCGUUGGCGAAGUGGUUAACGCACCAGAUUUUCAAUCUGGCAUGCAGGGGUUCGAAUCCCCUACGGGUCACCA
rnacentral:tRNA from 1 species